rnacentral:lncRNA from 1 species
CAUUUCCCCCUCCAUUAACCGGCUCAAACAAUCCAGAACCUCCACGUGUACGGCUCAGAUAAUUUCUAGACAAAAAUAAUGUCCCACCCUUAGAGUUUCUAAUUUGACUCGACCCGACCUGACACCAAGUUUCUCUAAUCUCAGCACCCGGCGCACGUUAGCAACAACCACCACGGCGGCAAAAUAUCACCGGAAAUUACAAAAAAAGGAGGGGAAAAGCUGCUUUUUGGGGGUUGAAGAUAAUGGAAAAUCAUGCUUUUUUUCCAAUAAAGGUGGUUUCCUGGACGUAAAAUGCAAGGUUAGAAGGUUGAUUUCUGAAAAGUUCAGUUUUUUAAUUCCUUUUUUGUGUGUUCAGAAUUUGUGGUAAUUUUGGUUAGGGAAGAAAAAGCGAGAGAAAAGGGGUUGACGGAAUUCUGUGAAGGUUGAAGAUAAGGGAAUUCAAGUGAAGAAGUAUGGAAAAGAAAGGAAAAAGGAGGAAAAUUAUUGAUGAAGAAUGGUUGUUAUUGGAAGAGAAAAACAUGGAGAUUACUGUUUGUUUCUCGAGAAUUUUGGUUUACCUGAAAUCGAAAUAUCUCUCUCCCUCUCUCAGGCUCUGCACCUCUGCAGGACGAACAGUGGAAGACAUUUUCUUUAUUUUUGGGGUCAAAGUGUUAAUUUUUAUAAACUAAAAUGAUCCCUGAAGUUUAAAAAAUGAGGUAUGUCCCCCAUAACGUAUAUCCAUUUGUGGAAUGGACUAUUGUCGUGUUACACGUGUCAUGAUGUGAGUGAUUUGGAAUUUAAUGGCCCAAUGAGAUUGAGUUUUACAUACAUAUACAGUGUGCC